AUUGAACGCUGGCGGCAUGCCUUACACAUGCAAGUCGAACGGUAACAGGUCUUCGGAUGCUGACGAGUGGCGAACGGGUGAGUAAUACAUCGGAACGUGCCUAGUAGUGGGGGAUAACUACUCGAAAGAGUGGCUAAUACCGCAUGAGAUCCACGGAUGCAAGCAGGGGAUCGCAAGACCUUGUGCUACUAGAGCGGCCGAUGGGAGAUUAGGUAGUUGGUGGGAUAAAAGCUUACCAAGCCGACGAGCUGUAGCUGGUCUGAGAGGACGAUCAGCCACACUGGGACUGAGACACGGCCCAGACUCCUACGGGAGGCAGCAGUGGGGAAUUUUGGACAAUGGGCGAAAGCCUGAUCCAGCAAUGCCGCGUGCAGGAUGAAGGCCUUCGGGUUGUAAACUGCUUUUGUACGGAACGAAAAGCCCCGGGUUAAUACCCUGGGGUCAUGACGGUACCGUAAGAAUAAGCACUGACUAACUACGUGCCAGCCGCCGCUGUAA
rnacentral:rRNA from 1 species